rnacentral:rRNA from 1 species
AUUGAACGCUGGCGGCAUGCCUAACACAUGCAAGUCGAGCGAGCGGCGGACGGGUGAGUAAUGUCUGGGAAACUGCCUGAUGGAGGGGGAUAACUACUGGAACCGGUAGCUAAUACCGCAUACCAUCAGAUGUGCCCAGAUGGGUUUAGCUAGUAGGUGGGGUAACGGCUCACCUAGGCGACGAUCCAUAGCUGGUCUGAGAGGAUGACCAGCAACAAUGGAACUGGGACACGGUGCAGACACCUACGGGAGGCAGCAGUGGGGAAUAUUGCAAAAUGGGCGCAAGCCGGAAACAGGCGUGCCGUGUGUGUGAAGAAGGCAUUCGGGUUGUAAAGCACGUUCAGCGGGGAGGCGUUACACGCAGAAGAAGCACCGGCUAACACCGUGCCAGCAGCCGCGGUAAUAC